ACGACUCCCCUUCCCAAGGGGCAGUUUAGUUCCACCCAGUCCAGGGGGGGAAGACUGCGCGAGCUGGCUCCGGGCCAGCGCCUGUCUGUGCUGGGCUGGGCUGGGCAGCCGGGAGGGAAGACCGUUCCAACUCCCCCUCACUGGAGCCUGUCUCUCUGCAAAGCCAGCCUUUCCCGGGAGCCUGGAAGCAAGUUAGUAUCUCAAUCCUGUGUUAGAACAGUUGCUAAGAGGACCAUUUGUUGGAAAUAUCAGUUUGCAACAGAUCCAGAUAAGGAAAUUGAAAAGUUAAGUAUAUGCUGUGUCCAUGCAUCCUGGAGCAGUGUAAGCCAUGAAUCUGUACCAGCACAGACAUCCCGGAGAACUCGCCACACGCCAUGACGGUGACGUGAAGAGAAGUAACUCAAUCCCAACAUUUCUGUACUUCCCGUUGUCUACCUCUCUCUCUCUACAGGACCUCCUCCACUUUUCACCACAAUGCCCACUGACUCACUGAAUGCUCCAGAACUGCAGAGCUUUCUCACUACCAAGGCUACAUUCAUCAAACCUCUGGUAUACUACCAGCUUCUCUAGUUCUUGGCACUCCUAAAUACCGUGGUGGAAAUGUUGGCACAAUCAACUGACAAGGGGAGACUUGUCAGCUGCUCCUACAUCAGUGACAGCUGUGGUGGGAACUAUACUGUGAAUGGAAGCACCUGUGCUCCUCUCUACCUUCUGGCCUCCACACACUUCCCAAAUCUCUUGAUUCCCAGGGCUUAAAGACUGGUUGGUUAAGACCAGAGAUUUUAAAUGCUCUGGCCACUCCUGAGUGCAGCCCAAACCAGACUAAAAUGGA